rnacentral:rRNA from 1 species
UUGACAUCCAGAGAAUUUAGCAGAGAUGCUUUAGUGCCUUCGGGAACUCUGAGACAGGUGCUGCAUGGCUGUCGUCAGCUCGUGUUGUGAAAUGUUGGGUUAAGCCGCAACGAGCGCAACCCUUAUCCUUUGUUGCCAGCACGUAAUGGUGGGAACUCAAAGGAGACUGCCGGUGAUAAACCGGAGGAAGGUGGGGAUGACGUCAAGUCAUCAUGGCCCUUACGAGUAGGGCUACACACGUGCUACAAUGGCGUAUACAAAGAGAAGCGACCUCGCGAGAGCAAGCGGACCUCAUAAAGUGCGUCGUAGUCCGGAUUGGAGUCUGCAACUCGACUCCAUGAAGUCGGAAUCGCUAGUAAUCGUAAAUCAGAAUGUUACGGUGAAUACGUUCCCGGGCCUUGUACACACCGCCCGUCACACCAUGGGAGUGGGUUGCAAAAGAAGUAGAUAGCUUAACCUUCGGGAGGGCGUUUACCACUUUGUGAUUCAUGACUGGGGUGAAGUCGUAACAAGGUAAGCGUAGUGCU